AAACUUUCAACAACGGAUCUCUUGGUUCCAGCAUCGAUGAAGAACGCAGCGAAAUGCGAUAAGUAAUGUGAAUUGCAGAAUUCAGUGAAUCAUCGAAUCUUUGAACGCACAUUGCGCCCCUCGGUAUUCCGGGUGGCAUGCCUGUUCGAGCGUCAUU
rnacentral:rRNA from 1 species